CAACCAGUUGUCUCUACCUUACCCGUCAUGCUCUCUCCUGCUCUUGUCACAACUCUUAACCACAGAAGUUACUGGUAGAAGCAGCACCAAGAAUAAAAUUCUGGCAGCCAUGAACUGUCAGGCUAGGCCACACUUCUCCCCUCCUGUAGAGAACCACCUUCACCCAAGGAGCGGGUCUUUCACGGAAAGGCUUCCACACACUGAGGUCCCAGAGCCCAGCACUGACUCCUGGCUGCUGCGUGAGGUCGUGCCCCACAUCAUCCUUCCAGAAACUUGAGGGAAGACAUGCAUGAGAAGCCGCUUCCAAGUCUCAGAUGGGACCUGGAGCAAGUCUCCUCUGGCACCGUUGGGUCCUCUGAAGAGAGCUGGCAAGUUGAACAACCUAUGGGACAAGCGCGUCCGCUCAAAACAAAGCUGCAAAGAUCUCAUGUGCUGUCUCUCUCUUUUUCUGUUUUUCUUUCUUUUUUUUAAAAUUGAAAUAUAAUGUAUGCAUUUUAAAGAAUCGAAACGGUUGCAUUCCAGGGACUUAGGCUGGAGGCCCGCUGUGCGGCUGUGAAGGUCAGAGGCCGGCGGCCUGGGACGCCACAGCGCGGGGCAGGAAGGGCCAAAGGCUUUCCC
ensembl:lncRNA